rfam:Trichomonas vaginalis G3, whole genome shotgun sequence.
GUAGUCUGCCAUACGCAGGAAGACCCGCUGAACUGAAGCAUCUCAUUAAGCGGAGGAAAAGAAACUAACUAGGAUUCCCUUAGUAAAGGCGAUCGAAAAGGGAACAGCCCAACGUCUUAAUCCCGCAAGGGAAAUGUAGUCGGUUCACCUAUUGCACUGGUCUAAGUCAGAUGGAAUGCUGCGCGAUUCAGAGUAAAAGCCUCGUAUGACCAACCGCAAGCUUACGAUGGACCGGGGAGAGUCGGAUACUUUGAGAGUAGUGUCUUAAGGGGGUGGUAUGUCCCAUCCAAGGCUAAAUAACGUGAGGAGACCGAUAGAUUACAAGUAGUGUGAACGAAAGAUGAAAAGAACUCUAAAACAGAGGGUGAAAAGUUCCUGAACUUGCUUAGGGUUAAGGCUAUUUAUAGUACCCGUCUUGAAACACGGAUUAGGGAGUUUAUCUGUAGUGCGAGUCUUUGCACGUUAACUGUAAAGGCGUAGAGAAGCAACUGGCGUUUGCAUGGCUACUGAGCAUUACUGAUCGACCCGAAAGGUGGUGACUUUGCUGCA